AUGUCUUCCUUAAUAAAUACCUUUCGUAAUAUUACUACUUUUUGGGUAACAAAUGCUUUAAUCAAAUUACGUAAUGGUAGCGAAAGCCGUGUUUAAUACAUUAAGGUGCAUCGUACUACCUCCAUUACCAUAUUAAAUCUUUUGAAUUGCAGUUAUUAUGUAUGUAGACGCAUUCGGUGUUCCUUAAUGUUUCUAUUUUCGUUAUUGUACUGUGGCUAGCAUUUCUGUGUCUGUUAUACAUAAUUUAGGUUAUUUCGGUAAUUUUACGCUUCGGGUCUACACGAUUACUGGCCAUUUCUAACGUACGUCUUAUCCAAAAAUAUUGCGUUAGAUAUUACCUUUUAUAGCAUUGCCUUGAUUUGCUACUUUUAGUACCUGUAAUUUUCUGAAGGGAGUUUCGCAUGUGCCUAACAAUACCUUUAUUGUGUUGUGGGUCGGGCUUCCCUUUUCAAAGACCGCGGCUUUCAUCUCAUCAUCAUGCAUGGACACUAAUCUCGAUUUAUUCUGACGCGGCUGUGGUAACGGACAUUUGAUCUUCUUCUUAUAUUUUCUUUCAUCCUGGGAGCUCCCUCCUGACUCUUUUAGCUUAUUAUUUCACCCUUGUAAGCUCUCCGUCGCGUUGCAAACUCUAUACAAUUCCGUGUGGCCCUCACACGCUGUGGAACCAGUCGAAAAAUAUUAGUCAACGCGAGGAGCUAUACCUACUCUUAACAUCAACCGGUAAUAACAGAAGUCACUUUCCCCGAUUCCGAUCCGUGUACCGGUGGCCCAUGGUUGUCGUCAGCUCGUGUUCUGAGAGGUUGGGUUAAGUCCCGCAACGAGCGCAACCCUCGUUCUAUGUUGCCAGCACGUGAUGGUGGGGACUCAUAGGAGACUGCCGGGGUCAACUCGGAGGAAGGUGGGGACGACGUCAAAUCAUCAUGCCCCUUAUGUCUUGGGCUUCACGCAUGCUACAAUGGCCGGUACAAAGGGUUGCGAUACUGUGAGGUGGAGCUAAUCCCAAAAAGCCGGUCUCAGUUCGGAUUGGGGUCUGCAACUCGACC
rnacentral:rRNA from 1 species